rnacentral:rRNA from 1 species
GUUGUAUAGUCAAGUAAUUAAGUGCAUGUGGUGGAUGCCUUGGCAGUCAGAGGCGAUGAAAGACGUGAUAGCCUGCGAAAAGCUCCGGGGAGGCGGCAAAUAUCCUUUGAUCCGGAGAUGUCUGAAUGGGGGAACCCACCUACUUUAAGGUAGGUAUUGCAACAUGAAUACAUAGUGUUGCAAGGCGAACGAGGGGAAGUGAAACAUCUCAGUACCCUUAGGAAAAGAAAUCAAUUGAGAUUCCCUCAGUAGCGGCGAGCGAACGGGGAUCAGCCCAUUAAGUUAUGUGUGUUUUAGUGGAACGCUCUGGGAAGUGCGAACGUAGAGGGUGAUAUUCCCGUACACGAAAGGGCACACAUAAUGAUGACGAGUAGGGCGAGGCACGUGAAACCUUGUCUGAAUAUGGGGGGACCAUCCUCCAAGGCUAAAUACUCCUGACUGACCGAUAGUGAACCAGUACCGUGAGGGAAAGGCGAAAAGAACCCCUGUGAGGGGAGUGAAAUAGAUCCUGAAACCGCAUGCAUACAAGCAGUGGGAGCACCUUCGUGGUGUGACUGCGUACCUUUUGUAUAAUGGGUCAGCGACUUAUAUUCAGUAGCAAGGUUAACCGUAUAGGGGAGCCGUAGAGAAAUCGAGUCUUAAUAGGGCGUUUAGUUGCUGGGUAUAGACCCGAAACCAGGCGAUCUAUCCAUGAGCAGGUUGAAGGUUGGGUAACACUAACUGGAGGACCGAACCCACUGUCGUUGAAAAGCCAGGGGAUGACUUGUGGAUAGGGGUGAAAGGCUAAUCAAGCCUGGUGAUAGCUGGUUCUCCCCGAAAGCUAUUUAGGUAGCGCCUCGGACGAAUACCAUAGGGGGUAGAGCACUGUUUCGGCUAGGGGGUCAUCCCGACUUACCAAACCGAUGCAAACUCCGAAUACCUAUGAGUACUAUCCGGGAGACAGACUGCGGGUGCUAACGUCCGUAGUCAAGAGGAAAACAAUCCAGACCGCCAGCUAAGGCCCCAAAAUCAUAGUUAAGUGGGAAACGAUGUGGGAAGGCAUAGACAGCUAGGAGGUUGGCUUANNNNNNNNNNNNNNNNNNNNNNNNNNNNNGAAGCAGCCACCCUUUAAAGAAAGCGUAAUAGCUCACUAGUCGAGUCGGCCUGCGCGGAAGAUGUAACGGGGCUAAAACUAUGUGCCGAAGCUGCGGAUUUGACAUUAGUCAAGUGGUAGGGGAGCGUUCUGUAAGCCGAUGAAGGUGUAUUGAGAAGUNNNNNNNNNAUGCUGGAGGUAUCAGAAGUGCGAAUGCUGACGUGAGUAACGACAAAACGGGUGAAAAACCCGUUCGCCGAAAGACCAAGGGUUCCAGUCCAACGUUAAUCGGGGCUGGGUGAGUCGACCCCUAAGGCGAGGCCGAAAGGCGUAGUCGAUGGGAAAAUGGUUAAUAUUCCAUUACUUCUGUGUAAUGCGAUGAGAGGACGGAGAAGGCUAAAUCAGCCUGGCGUUGGUUGUCCAGGUGAAAGGAUGUAGGCAUGUAUCUUAGGCAAAUCCGGGGUACUCUAUGCUGAGAUCUGAUAGCAAGCUGUACUUGUACAGCGAAGUGGUUGAUGCCAUGCUUCCAGGAAAAGUCUCUAAGCUUCAGUUACACAGGAAUCGUACCCGAAACCGACACAGGUGGUCAGGUCGAGUAGACCAAGGCGCUUGAGAGAACUCUGCUGAAGGAACUAGGCAAAAUGGUACCGUAACUUCGGGAGAAGGUACGCUGUUGUUGGUGAUGGAACUCGCUUCCUGAGCUGACGACAGCCGCAGAAACCAGGCCGCUGCAACUGUUUAUUAAAAACAUAGCACUCUGCAAACACGAAAGUGGACGUAUAGGGUGUGAUGCCUGCCCGGUGCUGGAAGGUUAAUUGAUGGGGUUAGCGUAAGCGAAGCUCUUGAUCGAAGCCCCAGUAAACGGCGGCCGUAACUAUAACGGUCCUAAGGUAGCGAAAUUCCUUGUCGGGUAAGUUCCGACCUGCACGAAUGGCAUAAUGAUGGCGGCGCUGUCUCCAGCAGAGGCUCAGUGAAAUCGAAAUCGCUGUGAAGAUGCAGUGUACCCGCGGCUAGACGGAAAGACCCCGUGAACCUUUACUGCAGCUUGACACUGAACUUUGACCUUACUUGUGUAGGAUAGGUGGGAGGCUUUGAAGCUGGAACGCUAGUUCCAGUGGAGCCGUCCUUGAAAUACCACCCUGGUAAUGUUGAGGUUCUAACUCUGUCCCGUGAUCCGGGACGAGGACCGUGUCUGGUGGGUAGUUUGACUGGGGCGGUCUCCUCCUAAAGAGUAACGGAGGAGUACGAAGGUGCGCUCAGCGUGGUCGGAAAUCACGCGUAGAGUAUAAAGGCAAAAGCGCGCUUAACUGCGAGACCCACAAGUCGAGCAGGUACGAAAGUAGGUCUUAGUGAUCCGGUGGUUCUGUAUGGAAGGGCCAUCGCUCAACGGAUAAAAGGUACUCUGGGGAUAACAGGCUGAUACCGCCCAAGAGUUCAUAUCGACGGCGGUGUUUGGCACCUCGAUGUCGGCUCAUCUCAUCCUGGGGCUGAAGCAGGUCCCAAGGGUAUGGCUGUUCGCCAUUUAAAGAGGUACGCGAGCUGGGUUUAGAACGUCGUGAGACAGUUCGGUCCCUAUCUACCGUGGGCGCUGGAAAUUUGAGAGGAUCUGCUCCUAGUACGAGAGGACCAGAGUGGACGAACCUCUGGUGUACCGGUUGUGACGCCAGUCGCAUCGCCGGGUAGCUAUGUUCGGAAGGGAUAACCGCUGAAAGCAUCUAAGCGGGAAGCCUACCUCAAGAUAAGAUUUCCCUAGGACUUUAUGUCCUCUAAAGAGCCGUUCGAGACUAGGACGUUGAUAGGUUGGAUGUGGAAGCAUAGUGAUAUGUGAAGCUGACCAAUACUAAUUGCUCGUGAGGCUUGACUAUACAACACCCAAGCAGUUG